rnacentral:rRNA from 1 species
GACGAACGCUGGCGGCGUGCCUAACACAUGCAAGUCGAGCGGUAACAGGUGUAGCAAUACAUGCUGACGAGCGGCGAACGGGUGAGUAAUGCUUCGGAAUCUACCCAAUGGUGGGGAAUAACCAGCCGAAAGGUUGGCUAAUACCGCAUACGUCCCACGGGAGAAAGCAGGGGAUCGCAAGACCUUGCGCCAAUGGAUGAGCCGAAGUCGGAUUAGCUAGUUGGUAGGGAACGGCCUACCAAGGCGACGAUCCGUAGCUGGUCUGAGAGGACGACCAGCCACACUGGGACUGAGACACGGCCCAGACUCCUACGGGAGGCAGCAGUGGGGAAUAUUGGACAAUGGGGGAAACCCUGAUCCAGCGACGCCGCGUGUGUGAAGAAGGCCUGCGGGUUUGUAAAGGCAACUUUUUAGUGGGGAUGAAAUGUUCAGGGUUAACACC